rfam:Glycine max cultivar Williams 82 chromosome 18, whole genome shotgun sequence.
ACAAAGUAGCCAAGAAAUCAAAAUAUUAUAAUAGAGUUUAUAAAAUAGUAAACUUUAGUGGAGGCCCGCAGUGAUAUUGGCGUGCAAACCAUUCGUCUGACUCGGGUAUAGGGGCGAAAAACUAAUCAAACCUUCUAGUAACUGGUUCCCUUUGAAGUUUCCCUUAUGAUAGUUAGAGCCCACAGGCGAGUUCUAUCGGGUAAAGCCAAUGAUUAAAGGCAUCAAGGGCACAAAUCCCUCGACCUAUUCUCAAACUUUAAAUAGGUAGGACGGCACGACUACUCUAUUCAGAAAUAUCACGAAAUUGAGAGCUCCAAGUGGGCCAUUUUUUGUAAGCAGAAUAGGCGAUGCGAGAUGAACCAUAAAUUAGGUUACAGUGCCCAACUGUGCGCUAACCUAGACCCCACAAAGUGUGUUGGUCGGUUAAGACCGCAUGAUGAUGGUCAUGGAAGUAGAAAUCCUCUAAGGAGUGUGUAAGAACUCAUCUACCAAAUUAACUAGCCCCGAAAAUGGAUGGCACUAAAGCGUGCGACAUAUACCCAGUCAUCGGGGCAAGGACCAAGCCCCGAUGAGUAGGAGGGUACGACUGUCGCUGCAAAACCCAGGGCGAGAGCCCAAGCAGAGUGGUCGUCGGUGCAGUCUUGGUGAUAGUAUAAAAUAUUCAAAUGAGAACUUUGAAGGUCGAAGAGGGGAUAGUUUCUAUGUGAAUGGCACUUGCACAUGGGUUAGUAGUUCCUAAGGGAUGGGGAAAGCCCGUCUGAUAGCACUUUGUGUGUGUACUUCGAAAGGGAAUUGGGUAAAAAUUCCUGAACCAAGACGUGGCAGCUGACGGCAAAAUUAAGGAGUUUGAAGACGUCGGUGAGGGCUCCGAAAAGAGUUAUCUUUUUUUUAACAGUCUGCCCAUCCUAGAAACAGCUCAGCCAAAGGUAGGGUUCAGCGACUGGAAUAGCACUGCAUGUCGCAUGGUGUCCAGUGCGCCCCCAACGGUCCUUGAAAAUCCAAGGACCAAGUGCCUCUCAUGCCCAGUCAUACUCAUAACCGCAUCAAGGCUCCAAGGUGAACAACCUUUGGUC